CAGGAGCAGGAUUGGACACCCCUGCCUUACAAGUACUCGGGAACAAACUUGGAGACUGGAGCAAGCGGAAGGAAUCCACAGGAGCAGAAACAAUAAACAGCACAGUGGUAGAUAACACAAGCAAGCAGAUAAUCCAAUACUUCACAAUGAAGAGACACGCCCAUGGACAGACAUUAUGGGAGGAGAUUUCUCGUUUCUCCUCAUCCACCAUUCAUAUAAAACGUCUUUUAUGAAUCCCUCAGACUAACUGACGUUCUCAUAUAGGACAAGAAGUUAAGAAGCAUGCUGGGUACACCAGCACACUCGCAUCAAAAAAAAUUGAUUAGCAUUUAUAGCAACUGCAGAUUAUUAGUCCGUAUAAGUCAAUGAGGCUAUACCUCAAUUGUUUUGUGAGAAAAAGUAACUUCACGGCCACCUGACAAGUAAAAAAAGUUCAAGAUACAUAUUUGGACAUGACUACCCUGCUUCUCAGGAGCUAUUCUUCAACCCAAAUCCUUUGAGAAGUCAAUGAGGAUUGUAUCUCUAUUGCUUGGUGAGGAUAAAAGCCAUGUGGAGUACAUUUAUGGUGGAUGGAUGCACUUUAUUGAGCUUCAUACUUGUUGGUCCCGUUCACUGCCAUUAUAAAGAUUGGACGCAUCAGGAUAUUUAUUAAUAUAACUCUGAUUGUGUUCAUCAGAAAGAAGAAAAUCAAAUACACUUGAUGGCUUGAGGACCCUGCAGGAGAUUUCCUAGAUUGAGAGGACCACCAGUGAGCUGGAACAGACCAUAAUAAAAAG